rnacentral:rRNA from 1 species
AUACGGAGGGUGCGAGCGUUAAUCGGAAUUACUGGGCGUAAAGCGUGCGUAGGCGGUUUGUUAAGUCAGAAGUGAAAGCCCUGGGCUCAACCUGGGAACGGCUUUUGAGACUGGCAGACUAGAGUUGCGUAGAGGGGAGUGGAAUUUCCGGUGUAGCGGUGAAAUGCGUAGAGAUCGGAAGGAACACCAGUGGCGAAGGCGACUCCCUGGACUCAAACUGACGCUGAGGUACGAAAGCGUGGGUAGCAAACAGGAUUAGAAACCCUAGUAGUCC